rnacentral:rRNA from 1 species
GAGUUUGAUCUUGGCUCAGAUUGAACGCUGGCGGCAGGCCUAACACAUGCAAGUCGAGCGGAUGACGGGAGCUUGCUCCUUGAUUCAGCGGCGGACGGGUGAGUAAUGCCUAGGAAUCUGCCUGGUAGUGGGGGGACAACGUUUCGAAAGGAACGCUAAUACCGCAUACGUCCUACGGGAGAAAGCAGGGGACCUUCGGGCCUUGCGCUAUCAGAUGAGCCUAGGUCGGAUUAGCUAGUUGGUGGGGUAAUGGCUCACCAAGGCGACGAUCCGUAACUGGUCUGAGAGGAUGAUCAGUCACACUGGAACUGAGACACGGUCCAGACUCCUACGGAGGCAGCAGUGGGAAUAUUGGACAAUGGGCGAAAGCCUGAUCCAGCCAUGCCGCGUGUGUGAAGAAGGUCUUCGGA